CACGUAGGGGCCAAGCGUUGUCCGGAUUUAUUGGGCGUAAAGAGCUCGUAGGCGGUUCGACAAGUCGGGUGUGAAAACUCCGGGCUCAACCCGGAGACGCCACCCGAUACUGUCGUGACUGGAGUCCGGUAGGGGAGUGGGGAAUUCCUGGUGUAGCGGUGAAAUGCGCAGAUAUCAGGAGGAACACCGGUGGCGAAGGCGGGAUCCUGGGCCAGUACUGACGCUGAGGAGCGAAAGCGUGGGGAGCAAACAGG
rnacentral:rRNA from 1 species